CUCUGUGAAUGAGCGACCAGUUGUUAAAUUACACGGAGAUAAGUGGCGGUUCCUCCCUAGAGGAACGCGCCUUCUUCCAUCCUCUGGGGCUCACCAGCUCAGGCAGCGACUGUCCACAGCGGUGCGACUCCCUGAGCGCAGCACGGUUGGGUGUGACUUGAGCAUACAGCGCUAUAUACCCUCAACUACACUGGACAGUACAGGGGGUUGCAACACAAUAAAUCUACAGGUAUUUUGCGAGUUCGGUAUCUUUUUUUUUUUUCUUUUAUUGUGGCAACAAAAAAGGGGGAAAACGCCUAAUGUUAAUUCACAAAACAAAACAAGAAGUGCACACACGUCGAAACUAGCUGUGCUGAUGACAUAUGUGUGCCUUAAACUUCAUAGUUAGCAGCAAGAGUUACAUUUUUUUAAAGGACAGAGAAACAUUUUACCUUGAGUAAGUUACCAGUCCAUCUGAUGCAUAAUGACAAUGGUCAGAGCUCGGUGCAUUCACGGGGGAUUCGACAAUUCCAAAAGACGGUCGCACAGCCAUCCAGGUGAAUGUGAUCGUUGAAUGGAGCGGCGCAUCAAAGAGGGCUCGCGCGUGUCUCGGGAACCGCCGUCCCCAGCUCGCGGCUCUGGAGCGUCCUUGCCUGCCUGUGUGUCCGCGCGCAGCAACAGCCGGAUUCCUUAUUUGGAAGCCCGGGGCUCGCGCUGCAGUGAAUGGUUUGAAAUUGUACCAACAUGACUUCCAGAUGAUCCUGGGGGAGCCCAAAGCGAAACAAAGGAGCAGCAGAUCUGCUCCGAGCUGUCUUUGGAAUGCAGAGCUGCUCACCCCACAGAGGAAACUCAUAUCAGCGUCAUUCUUUCUGCCACUGCCUUCUGGCCCAUAGGUGAGUUGGAACAUAAAUCAAUAUGUAACUUGAAAGCUUCGACUUCAAGCUCAAGUUGGCUGUUUAUGUCUGUUUUAGUUUUUUCUUUCUUGCCACUUCUGACCAGAUGGUCAUUUUCUAAGCAGCUUUGAGUGUCUCAUUGGAUGGAAAGAAUUCCAUCCAGUCUACAAAUCUGUUGUGCUCUGUUGCUGUCUAUAUAAAUAGAAAUUCAAAUAAGUAGAAAUGAAUGAUUGCACUACAACUACUUAAAUCCAGAUUCCAGCCAGAACAUGAAUGAAUUUUAAAAAGGAAAUAAAAGCAUUUCUCUACAAACACUGUAAAUAUUCCUGUAGGAUUGCAAUUUAACUGCAAAAUGAC
rnacentral:lncRNA from 1 species